rnacentral:rRNA from 1 species
CCUACGGGUGGCAGCAGUAGGGAAUCUUUCACAAUGGGCGAAAGCCUGAUGGAGCAACGCCGCGUGCAGGAUGAAGGCCUUCGGGUUGUAAACUGCUUUUAUAAGCGAGAAAUAUGAUGGUAACUUAUGAAUAAGGAUCGGCUAACUACGUGCCAGCAGCCGCGGUCAUACGUAGGAUCCGAGCAUUAUCCGGAGUGACUGGGUGUAAAGAGUUGCGUAGGUGGCAUAAUAAGUAGCUAGUGAAAUCUGGUGGCUCAACCGCGGAACUGCAUUUGAAACUGUUUUUCUUGAGUACCGGAGAGGUCAUCGGAAUUCCUUGUGUAGCGGUGAAAUGCGUAGAUAUAAGGAAGAACACCAGUGGCGAAGGCGGAUGACUGGACGGCAACUGACGGUGAGGCGCGAAAGCGUGGGGAGCAAACAGGAUUAGAUACCCCUGUAGUC